CUUGCAUUUUCAGAGGAAAGUCCGGGCUUCAUUGUAGGCAAGGUGCCGGAUAACGUCCGGCGUUGAAAAUCGUGAGGUUUUCAGCAGGAAGAGUGCAACAGAAAGUAUACCGCCUCCUUUUGGGGGUAAGGGUGAAAAGGUGAUGGUAAGAGCUCACCGCGUUACUGGUAACAGGAACGGCACUGCAAACUCCACCUGAAGCAAGACCAAAUAGGGAUGGCGUGGGUUUCCCGCGAUAGCUUACAAUCGCAGUCAUUCGGGUAGGUCGCUUGAGCUUGUUGGUAACAACAAGUCUAGAUGAAUGGUCAACCAAGGAGCAUGAUGCUCCUGGACAGAACCCGGCUUAUAGGUUGC
rnacentral:RNase_P_RNA from 1 species